GUUUAACCCACAGCGCCACCCGUGUCCCUUCUAGGAAGCUGCCUCACGCCAGGUCAAAUUAUCCGGCCGUCUAGCCCAGCAGUGGUGAGUGUCUGCAAAUAUUUUGGAUCUCAGACAGAAAAAAGUCUUUCCCCUCCUCCUGCUCCCUGGUCUUUUUAAACGGAGUUUGAACCCAAGACCUUGUGAGGCAGGUGUUCUGCCACCAAGCUACAAAUCCUGCAGUAUUUGAAUAUCCCGAUAUCCACCCUCCCACUGUCUUCCCCCCACCCUAAAAUCCCACUCUGUAAAGACUGCAUUUCCCACUUGGUUCCUGACAUCGUUUGUUCAGAUGUGAAACUCGGCCAGAUGAGAGGGGAAUGAAUGAAUGAAUGAAUGAAUGAAUGAAUACAUAAAUAUGACAAUUCCUGAUCCAACACAAUUAACCUUCCUCUCCUGUCCGGCCACUGCCGGGAUGAAAUUGUGUCUUCAUUUUUUAUUUUUUUUAAAUCAUUUUUAUUGAUUUUCCAAUAAAAACAGCCAAUCGAGAUAUCCGAAUCAUAAUCC